AUAGAGACUCAGAGCUGCAUAUCAAUAAGCGGAGGAAAAGAAACUAACAAGGAUUCCCUUAGUAACGGCGAGUGAAGCGGGAAGAGCUCAAAUUUGAAAUCUUCAAGGUUCUACCUUGACGAAUUGUAGUUUAAAGAAGUGUUUUCUGUUGGAGUUUGGUAAAAGUUCUUUGGAAUAGGACAUCAUAGAGGGUGAGAAUCCCGUAUUUGACCAGUUACUUUCCAGCUGUGUGAUACACUUUCAAAGAGUCGGAUUGUUUGGGAAUGCAGUCCAAAAUGGGUGGUAAAUUUCAUCUAAAGCUAAAUAUUGGCGAGAGACCGAUAGCGAACAAGUACCGUGAGGGAAAGAUGAAAAGAACUUUGAAAAGAGAGUUAAACAGUACGUGAAAUUGUCAAAAGGGAAGCGUUUGACACCAGUGUUGUUUUCUCGAAAAUCAAUUCAUGAUGGCUUGAUGCUAGGUUGUUAAGACUUUAUCAGCUUACUGUCUAGUUUUCUUGUCUUUGUGAAUGCACUUUUCGUUUAACAAGUCAACAUCAAUUUCUUUUGCUGUAAAAGGGUAUGAGGAAGGUGGCUUCAUCUUCGGUUGAGGUGUUUAUAGCCUUUUACCUCUGCAGUCGGAGAGAUUGAGGUCUGCAGCGUAGACUCUUCGGGGUUAGAUACAUUUGUGCUAAGUUAUAGCUUUUCAUAGACAACUUGUUGACUAUGUUUAGUCUUGUAGCUUACUCGCUUAUGCUAUUUACCUACGCUUAGGAUGUUGAUAGUCACAGCGUGUAC
rnacentral:rRNA from 1 species